AAUUUAAGUUAAUGUUCAUUCAUGUUCUGCGCGCGUAUUGAGUUGCGCCCUGAAUAUUUCUUUGGGCAUUAUCCGCAAAAUAAUUAUGUUACAAAACUUUUUGCGUUAAACUUGUAAAACAAACGAGAAGUUUUAUUGGAAAUCUGCUUAAGUAAAUUGGGGAAAACCUAUAAAAGGCUGAAAAUUAUUAUUGAGCAACAUUGGGUGUGGAUCCUUCGCCGGUGUGGGGUCGCAGUGCGUGAAUAUUUGAGAAAACAGAUGCAAAAAUGGAUGGCAAAUACGUCCUAAUAGCCCUAGUGGUGGCUUGUACCCACGAGCUGGGCCACUCACACAUUCUCCCGCCAAGCCACGACUUCCCUAUAGCGGAGUGUGUCAGGUCACUGACUCGCCACAUGAUCAAUGUGUGUUCUUCCUAUGGUGAUUAUGCGGACAUGUUCAUCGACAACGGAAUGCCGUUAAUCCCCCAA